UGCAUCAAAAUUUUAAGGUAAAAUAAAAAUAAAAUAUAAAUAUAUAAAAUAGUUAUCAUUUUUGUGAUUUAAGGCCACCUAUCCACUCAUCCAUCACGCAUAUCCACUCAUCCAUCACGCACCAAUAUAGACACUCCAAUUACCUAUACACUGAUAGAUACACCAAGCAUCAACACAAAAUAUACUAAGCCUCCUAUUUCACUCCUAUAAUCCUCCAACAGCCUAGCCCAGCCUAUUCAACCACUCUUAUAAUCCUCCAACAGCCUCUAAGGCCUUCGAAGAGUGCAAAAGUCCUGCUACAAAGUCUCCAAAACAAUUAUAGAUUUUGGUUAGUUAUGCUCUUAUUGCAAAGCUUUCUCUGGGAUCUGUCGUCAACAACCUCAUCAAUUGCACCGUGGAGUGGAUUAAAGCUUCAAUACCAAGCGGGAAUUUGUGAGCUUCAAUAAGCCUCAAAUCGCAGGUACGAAGACUUGGUUCGUGACGCCUAGCAUUCCUUUGAUGUCGUGUAGCUUUCAAGUUUCAAUUUCAUACAAAUAUUAGCAUGAAAUGUCAUUUUGUAGACUUAUAUAUCAAAAUAUGUAUAUUUGAUUCCAUGUAUGUAAUGUGUACUUAAGUACACUCUUUUCAAUGUAUUUAAUAUGUAUGAGAUGAGGCCGGAGGCCAAUGACAUGUAUAUUGUAUUCUAUACAACUUUUUAACUUCAUGAAAUGUUAUGAAAACCUUGAAAAAUUGCAA